rnacentral:rRNA from 1 species
CACCACCGGCGGACGGCUCAGUAACACGUCGGUAACCUACCCUCGGGAGGGGGAUAACCCCGGGAAACUGGGGCUAAUUCCCCAUAGGCCUGAGGUACUGGAAGGUCCUCAGGCCGAAAGGGACUUAUGUCCGCCCGAGGAUGGGCCGGCGGCCGAUUAGGUAGUUGGUGGGGUAAUGGCCCACCAAGCCGAAGAUCGGUACGGGCUGUGAGAGCAGGAGCCCGGAGAUGGACACUGAGACACGGGUCCAGGCCCUACGGGGCGCAGCAGGCGCGAAACCUCCGCAAUGCGGGAAACCGCGACGGGGGGACCCCGAGUGCCGUGGCAACGCCACGGCUUUUCCGGAGUGUAAAAAGCUCCGGGAAUAAGGGCUGGGCAAGGCCGGUGGCAGCCGCCGCGGUAAUACCGGCGGCCCGAGUGGUGGCCGCUAUUAUUGGGCCUAAAGCGUCCGUAGCCGGGCCCGUAAGUCCCUGGCGAAAUCCCACGGCUCAACCGUGGGGCUUGCUGGGGAUACUGCGGGUCUUGGGACCGGGAGAGGCGGGGGGUACCCCUGGGGUAGGGGUGAAAUCCUAUAAUCCCAGGGGGACCGCCAGUGACGAA